rnacentral:lncRNA from 1 species
AAUAACCCAAUCAAGCCCAAACCCAUAACUCAUAAACCAACCCAUUGAAAGCUGUAGAAGUCGGCGUCUGGGAACUGGCCAACGAGGAGCAUCUCAACGAUGUGGGGCGCCGGUUUACUAGCAGAAGUCCGAAUCUGUAGUGAGAGAGAUGGUUCCGUUUCUGGUUUUGGAUGAAGGUAAUAUGUUGGUUGACUGGGGAUGUGGGUGUCGCGUUACAGUAUUAUUGAUUUCGGUAGUUGGGCUUGGACGGCCAUUACUGGAACAGUCGGCAGUUGAUUGCAAUUUCG